CCACCGGGGGAUGCUUAGUACGGCGAGUGAGCGGCAAAAGCUCAAAUUUGAAAUCUGGUACCUUCGGUGCCCGAGUUGUAAUUUGGAGAGGGCAACUUUGGGGCCGUUCCUUGUCUAUGUUCCUUGGAACAGGACGUCAUAGAGGGUGAGAAUCCCGUGUGGCGAGGAGUGCGGUUCUUUGUAAAGUGCCUUCGAAGAGUCGAGUUGUUUGGGAAUGCAGCUCUAAGUGGGUGGUAAAUUCCAUCUAAAGCUAAAUAUUGGCGAGAGACCGAUAGCGAACAAGUACAGUGAUGGAAAGAUGAAAAGAACUUUGAAAAGAGAGUGAAAAAGUACGUGAAAUUGUUGAAAGGGAAGGGCAUUUGAUCAGACAUGGUGUUUUGUGCCCUCUGCUCCUUGUGGGUAGGGGAAUCUCGCAUUUCACUGGGCCAGCAUCAGUUUUGGUGGCAGGAUAAAUCCAUAGGAAUGUAGCUUGCCUCGGUAAGUAUUAUAGCCUGUGGGAAUACUGCCAGCUGGGACUGAGGACUGCGACGUAAGUCAAGGAUGCUGGCAUAAUGGUUAUAUGCCGCCCGUCUUGAA
rnacentral:rRNA from 1 species